AAUCGAUCAAUCUAAAAAUGAUCGUGUAUUAUCUCUCUCAAUCUCACUGCCUCCUAAUGCAUCUCUCUCUCUCUCUUCAUCACGGUUGCUGCUGCUGCGGAGUUUAGUGGUGAGGUUUUAGAGACGGAGCUCUAGUGCGUGGCGAAGAACAACGCUGAGGAUUCGGCACUUCAAACGACCAUUGACUGGGCUUGUGGUCCCGGAGGAGCUGAUUGCGGCGGGAUUCAGCAAGGCGGAUCCUGCUACGAUCCACUGAUGAUAGUGAAGAUGGCUUCGUAUGUUUUCAAUAACUAUUAUCUGAAGAACGGUCUCGCAGAUGAAGCUUGCAACUUUAGUAACAACGCAGCUGUUACUUCACUGAAUCCUAGUCAAGGAACAUGCAAGUUUCCUUCAAGGUAAUUAGCAUUUGUGUGUGUCAUUAUAGUCUGUUUGGAGCAAUUUUCGAUCGUCUUUUAGAAAUGAUUCCUAGUUUGAUGGGUUUUGAGUGAAAUCUUUGAAUAGCACUUUUCAUUAGUUUCUGGAUUAGAAGGAUGAAGUUACUUCACUUCUCCUCGAGAAUUGCUUUUAUCUUGAUGGUAUAUUGUUCAUUUAUUGAUCAAUAUUAUGCAGUUUCUGUAGAACAUAGAAGAGGUUGCAAAUAUUAUUAAAGCAAAUUUUCUGAAAA